GACGAACGCUGGCGGCGUGCUUAACACAUGCAAGUCGAACGGAAAGGCCCUGCUUUUGUGGGUUGCUCGAGUGGCGAACGGGUGAGUAACACGUGAGUAACCUGCCCUUGACUUUGGGAUAACUUCAGGAAACUGGGGCUAAUACCGGAUAGGAGCUCCUGCUGCAUGGUGGGGGUUGGAAAGUUUCGGCGGUUGGGGAUGGACUCGCGGCUUAUCAGCUUGUUGGUGGGGUAGUGGCUUACCAAGGCUUUGACGGGUAGCCGGCCUGAGAGGGUGACCGGCCACAUUGGGACUGAGAUACGGCCCAGACUCCUACGGGAGGCAGCAGUGGGGAAUAUUGCACAAUGGGCGGAAGCCUGAUGCAGCAACGCCGCGUGCGGGAUGAUGGCCUUCGGGUUGUAAACCGCUUUCGCCUGUGACGAAGCGUGAGUGACGGUAAUGGGUAAAGAAGCACCGGCUAACUACGUG
rnacentral:rRNA from 1 species